rnacentral:rRNA from 1 species
GACGAACCGUGCGAACGUUGUUCGGAAUCACUGGGCUUAAAGGGCGCGUAGGCGGCUUCCCAAGUCCGGGGUGAAAUCUUUCGGCUUAACCGGAAAAGUGCCUUGGAUACUGGGAGGCUCGAGGGAGGUAGGGGCAAGCGGAACUUCCGGUGGAGCGGUGAAAUGCGUUGAUAUCGGAAGGAACGCCGGCGGCGAAAGCGGCUUGCUGGACCUCAUCUGACGCUGAUGCGCGAAAGCUAGGGGAGCGAACGGG